rnacentral:rRNA from 1 species
AACGAACGCUGGCGGCAUGCCUAACACAUGCAAGUCGAACGAGACCUUCGGGUCUAGUGGCGCACGGGUGCGUAACGCGUGGAAACCGCCCCUUGGGUCGGGAUAACCCCCCGAAAGGGGGGCUAAUACCGGAUAAUGGCUUCGGACCAAAGAUUUAUCCCCUUUGGAUGGGCCCGCGUUGGAUUAGCUAGUUGGUAGGGUAAAAGCCUACCAAGGCGACGAUCCAUAGCUGGUCUGAGAGGAUGAUCAGCCACACUGGGACUGAGACACGGCCCAGACUCCUACGGGAGGCAGCAGUGGGGAAUAUUGGACAAUGGGCGAAAGCCUGAUCCAGCAAUGCCGCGUGAGUGAUGAAGGCCUUAGGGUUGUAAAGCUCUUUUACCCGGGAUGAUAAUGACAGUACCGGGAGAAUAAGCUCCGGCUAACUCCGUG